AGUAAAGUGCCUGACAAAAGGAUUAUCGUGAUAGGGUAAAAAAUGUAACGAAUUUACCUUUACUA
rnacentral:tRNA from 1 species